rnacentral:rRNA from 1 species
UACGUAGGGUGCGAGCGUUGUCCGGAAUUAUUGGGCGUAAAGAGCUCGUAGGCGGUUUGUCGCGUCGAAUGUGAAAACCCGGGGCUCAACCCCCGGGGCCUGCAUUCGAUACGGGCAGACUAGAGUUCGGUAGGGGAGUCUGGAAUUCCUGGUGUAGCGGUGAAAUGCGCAGAUAUCAGGAGGAACACCGGUGGCGAAGGCGGCCAACUGGACGAAUACUGACGCUGAGACACGAAAGCGUGGGGAGCAAACAGG